rnacentral:sRNA from 1 species
AGGACAUGGGUGUGGAGGCAAAGAACCAUGAAGUACACAACAACCACAGGAAGAAACAUUACCAAGGUCCUCAUUGCAAACAGAGGAGAAAUUGCCUGCAGGGUGAUGCGCACAGCCAAAAAACUGGGUGUACAGACUGUGGCGGUUUAUAGUGAGGCUGACAGAAAUUCCAUGCAUGUAGAUAUGGUAUGUGUUAAAAAUUGGAAGCCACGUCUUACGUUU